AUCAGAUUAUCAGUGGCUGUUGAAAUACUAUUAAGUUCAGAUGAGGCACUAACUGAAGAACAGGAAUCAGACUGGAGAUUUUGGUAUACUUAGGUUCUGAUUUUGAUUCUUUUCUCAUGUUUUUUUUUUCAGAUCUGUAAGCUGCAGGGAUCAGGAAUUCAGGGAUGCAUAUCUAGGACCAUUGGCCUGCUGCAGUGCAAACCAUGUGGUGAAUGGGCUGGCGCCUGCAGAAGAAAUGUAGGCACACGGCUAUGGUUUUCUUGACUGCUCACCUUUGCUGGCAUGCUGGGUCUGUCUAUCUGUCCUUUUCUCUUCUCCUGGUUGAAAGGGGAGCCUGCUGCAUUAAUGCUGUUUGGUCCUGAAUCCAUGGCAACAUUUGGUGUUCAGCAAAUUUGUGCAAUAAAUGCAUUACAGCCUUUAGGACUAGAUACUUUUCAGUUUUAUUGCCCUAGCCUAUUAGUACUUUUCUAGGAUAGAAAAACAGGUUACCAGGAUAGUAUUUCAGAUGCAAUUUUCAACAUCUUUAUCUGAAGUUUGUUUUCUUUCAUGGUGUAUUUCUCUCUACUUGAUUUCAAUUUACACAAUGUGUUUACUCUAGCCUUUUAUGUUCCUGCAGUUAUGGCUGCCGGUUCGUUCUAAGGUUUCUGUCGACCUGAGCAAGUUUCUAAUCAGCUACAUAAGGCUGAAAAUUUAAAGCAUCAUACUAGAAAGAAGAUGAACUUUCUUUAGCUCCCUUUCAUGAUAGCAUUUGACAGGCAUAAAUCAUAAUCAUUAGAAGUAGAGCUGGAGUAAGUCAGUCUACUGAGCUUUUUACAGUCUCUAGGCUCACCACGUUAUAGAGGAAACUAACAUCAACAUGCAAGAAUCAUUAGUAGAAUCCUGUGCUAACAUAUACAGUUUUAAUACUUGCAAUGAAGUACACCUGCCAUUAAAGUUUCUUGUACAGACUUUCAGUUAUCUAGUUUUGGAUUCCUAUAUACUCUACUUAUAGUUUGGCAAUAUGAUUCUUAAUAUAGCUGACAAUACUUUACUGACUGUAUAGUUUAUAUGGAUCUGGUAAGAAGUUAUCUAGAAUUCUGCACAAGACAGGCUGGAAGUUGGCCUGUUGCAAUGAGUAUUUCUUUUUUGUGACAGUCAUUGGAUUCUCAGCUGCAGAAGGACAUGGUGCAUGUGCUCACUUCUUCUUUAAUCUUUUGUUUUCUUUGGCUUUUGGCCUGUAACUUAGGCACAUUGAAGAUGUUUCUAUCAAUAUAUGUAAGCUGGAGUUCAAUUGAACUUUCCAUCUGAGAUAAUUUCCAUAACCAGUCCAGGUUCAUUGCAGCUGCAGUGUUCAUGUAAUUUUUCUCCAGUGGACAGUGGAAGAACUGAAAUAGAUGAGGUUUUCACUUUCUGGUGACAGGGAACUUCGAGGAGGAGGCCGAAAAGAGAAUGCUUCUCCUCCCUUUCUGAUGCAAUGCAAUGGUGAUGGAUGGCACUCCUGUACACAAGAUGACAAGUGCAUCAUACUGCACCGGCUUUCCAGCCUAUCACGGCAGUCAAAGGAAACCUAGUGGCGGUGGUCCCUUCUCUUCUCCCAGAGCUCACGUUAACAGCUAGCUCAGGACAUCCACUAGGGUCCUACCUGUCCGAUGCUCCCCUCGCUGCCUCCUGCCAUUUGACACAUUGUGGGAAAGUCCGAACUUUUUCAUGCAAAUUUUGCAUGGAAUUCAUCCAAAGUUUUUCAGAUUGGUUUGAGCUAAGAUGAGUCGCUUGGAUAACUGAUAAUAGGUAACUAAGAAUUUGAUAACCCCAGCUUGGACAAUGGUGGCAACUUUUAUCAGCACAAGGUGGCAAAAUGUGGCUGGCAACCAAACAACCAUGCUGUCCCUCAGUUAAGACAGCUGAAAUUAAUCUGACUUUUGUGAGUGUUUGAGGAUACAAACAAAUUAAUUAACUGCUACAAAAUAUACCAAGAAAUUAUUAUACAGAAAGUUUUUGUACGAAAUAUAUUGUUUAGCAAAUGAAAAUCUAGAAUCAGAAAAGAACAGGCCCAC